rnacentral:ncRNA from 1 species
CGUUACUUGUCGGAGUGCCUUGAGUUUUUGCAGCAAAUUUGUUGCAGAUAGUCGGGCUGAGAUCGCAUUUUGCGGGAUCCGUGGACCUGAUCAGGUUAAUGCCUGCGUAGGGAACAAGACAGCAAACGCG